CGCCAGACUCCUACGGGAGGCAGCAGUGGGGAAUAUUGCACAAUGGGGGAAACCCUGAUGCAGCGACGCCGCGUGAGUGAAGAAGUAUUUCGGUAUGUAAAGCUCUAUCAGCAGGGAAGAAAAUGACGGUACCUGACUAAGAAGCCCCGGCUAACUACGUGCCAGCAGCCGCGGUAAUACGUAGGGGGCAAGCGUUAUCCGGAUUUACUGGGUGUAAAGGGAGCGUAGACGGUCCUGCAAGCCAGAUGUGAAAGCCCGGGGCUCAACCCCGGGACUGCAUUUGGAACUGUAAGGCUAGAGUGUCGGAGAGGCAGGCGGAAUUCCUAGUGUAGCGGUGAAAUGCGUAGAUAUUAGGAGGAACACCAGUGGCGAAGGCGGCUUACUGGACUGUAAAUGACGCUGAGGCUCGAAAGCGUGGGGGGCAAACAGGAUUAGAGACCCGUGUAUC
rnacentral:rRNA from 1 species